GGCCUCGUAGCUCAAUGGUAGAGCAACACCCUCUUAAGGUGAUGGUUGAAGGUUCGAAUCCUUCCGAGGUCA
rnacentral:tRNA from 1 species